GGGCCUGUAGCUCAGCUGGGAGAGCGUCUGACUGGCAGUCAGAAGGUCAGCGGUUCGAUCCCGCUCAGGUCCACCA
rnacentral:tRNA from 1 species